AUCUACAGCCAUGCUACCCUGAACAAGCCUGAUCCUGUCUGAUCUCAGAAGCUAAGCAGGGUCAGGUCUGGUUAGUACUUGGAUGGGAGACCACCUAGGAACAUCAGGUGCUGUAGGUG
rnacentral:rRNA from 1 species